rnacentral:rRNA from 1 species
AUGGGCAAAGUGCCAUCACAGAAGGACCUCUUUGAGGUUUCAGGUCCUACCUAUUUGACAUACGUUAAUUGGAACUGCCCACACCACCAGCGAUCGGCCAUGGCGAGCCUCGUGCAAGGCGUGUACGUCCUGGAGCGUGACCGGCAACGGAACCGCCAGGGCCCCGACGCCCGCGCGCCGGCGUGGUGGAAGUUCUUCAACUUCGAGCUGCGGCAGGCGCUCGUGGACGCCGCCGACUCCUCCAUCUUCGGCGCGGUGUACGCGUUCCAGCCGCCGUACCACCUCAUCGACCCAGCGGCGGCCGCCAGCGCGCCGCACUACGUCGUCGCCUUCCGAGGGACCGUCACCAAGAAGGCCUCGGCGUCCAGGGACCUCGAGCUCGACCUCCUGCUCGUCCGGAGCGGCAUCGAGCACACCUCCCGCUUCCGCAUCGCGAUGCAGACCAUCCACGACGUCGUGGUUGCCGCCGGGGCGGGGCACGGCCGCGUCUGGCUGGCCGGCCACUCGCUGGGGUCCGCCAUCUCAACCCUCGCCGGAAAGACCAUGGCCCGGGCGGGCGUCGUCCUCACCACAUUCCUCUUCAACGCGCCGUUCCUGUCGGCGCCGGUGGAGAGGAUCCCGCACAAGAAGGUGAAGCAGGGCAUCCGCAUCGCCAAGAGCUUCGUCACGGCCGGGGUGGUCACCGUCCUGCACAAGAGCGGCGGCAGCAGCGACGAAGCCUUCGCGGCGCUGGCGCGGUGGGUGCCGAACUUGCUGGUGAACCCGGCGGACCCCAUCAGCGCGGAGUACGUGGGGUACUUCGACCACCGCAAGAAGAUGGAGGACAUCGGCGCGGGCGCCGUCGGGAGGCUGGCCACGAGGCACUCGGUCAAGGACCUGCUUCUGGGCAUCGGCAAGCCGGAGGGCUGCGAGCCGCUGCACCUGUUCCCUUCGGCCGUCCUGACGGUGAACCGCGGCCCGUCGCCGGACUUCAAGUCGGCCCACGGGAUCCACCAGUGGUGGCGGCCGGACUUGGCCCUGGAGUGCAGGGCCUAUUCCUACGCUUGA